AACACGGCAAGAUGGCGGCGCUCACGCCGCCCGCCCGCCCGUGCUGCGUCAUGUCGCGCCCCGGCCCCGCCGCGCCCGCAGGCUCGCCGGGAUUCGUGUUCAAACGGCGCCGGGGAAGAUGGAGAUGAGGUUUGUUCCCCUCGCACACCUCACUGCCCGUGCAGGGUGUGAGCAGCUCGCAGCGCUCGGAGAUGCUCGGCCCGUGCGUAGGGGUGGGGAGGGACGAGCCCCGGGGCUGUGGGCAGGGAAUGUCCCCAGUCCCAUCGCUGGGAUGCUGAAGGAAUUUUGGUUCCUAUGUAACAACUGCAAAAAUAUCACCAGCCCUAAAGGGGGAGGAGGUGGAACUGGAGUUUAAAAACCAACCAGGCCGACUUAAACGGGAUUCAAAGGUGAGGACUGGCAGCAAACACUGGAAACUGGAGGUUUUUUUAAAAAAAGUGUAUGGAAAUUUGCAGGGCCUUAGCAAUAACAAGAACAAAAAUGUUUGCUGGACUCCAAAACUAAUAUGGGGUUUGCUAUAAAAUAGGUGGUUUUUUCCAGAUAAAAGGAGAAUCUGCUUGAGCUCUCUGCAUCAGGUCUGUGUAGCUUUAGUCUGGCUGAAGCAAAGCAAAAAUCAGUGUGUGUGUGUGUGUGAUGCAAGACAACAAACUGUAUUUGAAUUAGGGAAAGAGCUCCAGAGAAAAUGGCAUCAGCCCUUGGAAUACGGGUGUGACUCCAGCAGUUGCUGUUGCAGAGGGUACUGGGGAGGAAUUGUUCCCCCUCUCCCUUUAAACCCCUGAUAAGGAACUGCUGGAGCACGAGUAAAAUCCUGAUAGAGUGAUCAAAGCAUGCUUGAAUUGCAAAGCAGUGAUUCUUCUCUCAUCACCUCAGCCUGUGAGAUGUAGAAUUCCCAAUCCCACACUUAAGCCAUGCUGAAAUCAGUAGAAUUCCUCACCUGGAAUACCAAUGGUGGUGUGAAAACACCUGGGAGCCAGAGUUGCUCGUGCAGCUCCUCUCCUUUUCAAAGCCCACCCUUGCACGGACACAAUCCAUUAAUAUUUUUAGCAAGUUUUUGUUGUGCUUUCCUGGCAACAGCCAAUUCCUUAAUGAAUAAUCCCCAAACUGUGGCAAAUCUGCAAAUUUGGGGAUGCAUGCUGAAGUCAUCUGUGCUGCCUGACGUCAGCAUUGCAUAAUCUGUUGACUGUCCCCUUUUUAUGUAAUGUAUGUUUGGAGUUUGUUUUAAAAUGUGCAAAUGUUUUCCUUUCCCCUGCGUGCUGCUGCUCCCGAUAUUCCACGUUUGCCUCUCCGUUGCCCUCUGGAGUUGCAAACUUGUAAGGCAGCGUUUUCACGGCUGGAUCCAGCCCAGUGGUUUGUGUUUCUCUCCUAAAAACAGCCUCUGGGACAUCUCAGCGCCUUCUCUUUGCCAGGUGAGUUAUUUAAAGUGUUAAAGAAACACCCCAGUUUUUGGAGUUUCUGGAGUUUCUGCUUCCUGCUGGUGGAAACAUGGAAGCUUCUUGUGCUGCUCCAUCUCCAUCAUAAAUGGACUUUUAUUGGAAACUUAGUAACACAUUAACUUUGGCAGCAUGAAACCCUUGUGGUUUUUUGAACUCAUUUCAGAACUUGAUGUAUCCAAUUCCCUCAGGCAACGUGGGGGUGGUAGAAAUAAUUUCGUGAUGUUUUCAGGAUUGCCUGGUUUUAGGAAAGAAAAAAAAUACCAAGGAGGGGUAAAGUUGUAGAAAUACACAACAAAGUGGUGGGUGGAGAAAUGGUGCCAUGAUCUUUUCAGCAGGGCCUGUUUUGGAGGAAGGGAGGAAAAACAAUGGGGGGUAGUAAAUAUAGGUUGAUGGAAGCUUGUAAUUUAACUAAUUAGUGGGAUUGUGCAUUUCAAAUGUUUUUAUGUGGAUUUGAUGACCUAAAAAUGCCAGCUCGGGCACCUCGAGGCUGCUCCCUGCAGUCCCUGUGGGCACAGCUGGCCCUGGGAGCUGCUCCCCUGGGAUGGCACGGUGGGGAUCAGUGCAGACACACGUGCCAGGCUCCAGAGGAGCCCAGGGUGGGUGUGGGCUGGGCUGGGAAUCCUGGAAAAGCAGGCAGCAGGAGCCUGGCGGGCUCAGGGCACGGUACCGGUGCCACCCUUGGGGUUGGUGCCGCCGUCGGGGCCAUGCCCGCCGUGAUCCCGCUGUCCCAGAGUGGCUCCAGCAGCUUUCCUGGCUGCCUGCCACUGUCCCCACUGCUCCCUGACACCCAAGCCUCGGCAGCAUGAGCCAAGUGCUGCUGGCUGGCUGGGUUUAAGGGGGAGGAAGGGCUGUCCCCUGUAGCAGGGGUGGUUACUGUGUCUCCAUUAAAGCCAGCGUGGGUGGAUUUGCCCGCAAGGAGCUGCUGCUUAAAACCGCUCAGAAGCCGCCGUGGUCAUUAAGAUUUAACACUAAUUAUGUGGAUAAUUUCCUGGAGUGAACCUCAGCUGCAAAGCCACUUGUGUUAAGGCUCCUGAGGCUUUCACCUGUGGGGUGUCGUGGGGUUUUUGGGACACUGAGGGAGGAGGACACCGAGGACUCGGCAGUGCCACGGAGGGGCCAAUGACUGCCAGGCUGCCCUGGCUCAGUUAUCACAGUGCUGAUGCUGUCUCUUGUAAAGGUACAGUACUGUGAUAACUGAAGGAUGGCAGCCAUCUGAGCUUCACGGCACCCUGGGGCCACCAAAGCCACCACGCCUGGCGUCCUGCUCCCCACUGGAGUGUGCUCGUUUCACCUGGAACCCUUGGCAGAAAGGUCAUGUUUAUUUUAAUAAAAUAUAACACACUCUG